GAUGAACGCUGGCGGUAUGCUUAACACAUGCAAGUCGAACGGACUCUUCGGAGUUAGUGGCGGACGUGUGAGUAACGCGUGAGAAUCUGGCUUUGGGUUCGGGACAACCACUGGAAACGGUGGCUAAUACCGGAUGUGCCGAGAGGUAAAAGAGAAAUUGCCUGAAGAUGAGCUCGCGUCUGAUUAGCUAGUUGGUGAGGUAAAGGCUCACCAAGGCAGCGAUCAGUAGCUGGUCUGAGAGGAUGACCAGCCACACUGGGAAUGAGACACGGCCCAGACUCCUACGGGAGGAAGCAGUGGGGAAUUUUCCGAAAUGGGCGAAAGGCUGACAGAGAAAUACCGAGUGAGGGAAGAAGGCUCUUGGGUUGUAAACCUCUUUUCUUAGGGAAGAACAAAAUGACGGUACAUAAGGAAUCAGCAUCGGAUAACUCAGUG
rnacentral:rRNA from 1 species